rnacentral:rRNA from 1 species
AUUGAACGCUAGCGGGAUGCUUAACACAUGCAAGUCGAACGAGUGGCGGACGGGUGAGUAAUGUCUGGGAAACUGCCCGGUGGAGGGGGAUAACUACUGGAAACGGUAGCUAAUACCGCAUACUAUUGGAUCGGCCCAGAUGGGAUUAGCUAGUUGGUGGGGUAACGGCUCACCAAGGCAACGAUCCGUAGCUGGUUUGAGAGGAUGACCAGCCACACGGGGACUGAGACACGGCCCAGACUCCUACGGGAGGCAGCAGUGGGGAAUGUUGGACAAUGGGCGAAAGCCUGAUGCAGCCAUGCCGCGUGUAUGAAGAAGGCCUUCGGGUUGUAAAGUACUUUCAGCGGGGAGGCGUUACCCGCAGAAGAAGCACCGGCUAACUCCGUGCCAGCAGCCGCGGUAAUUC